UAAAAGGCCCUUUUCAGGGCCACCAAUUAUUAAAUCACUUAACC
rfam:Rhodnius prolixus Rhodnius_prolixus-3.0.3-192.25, whole genome shotgun sequence.